rnacentral:snoRNA from 1 species
GGGGCGGAUAGGAACCAGGCAACUUUUGUGGGUUACUUGGGCCGAAAACCGCCGAGAUCAUAUAGGUAGUUUAAUGGUCGUAUGUGUCACUGACUGUGACAUGUAUAUUACCAAAUUACCAAACACAA